rnacentral:rRNA from 1 species
UACGUAGGGGGCGAGCGUUGUCCGGAUUCAUUGGGCGUAAAGCGCUUUAAGGCGGUUCGCUAAGUCGCGUGUGAAAACUCCAGGCUCAACCUGGAGACGCCACGUGAUACUGGCGUGACUAGAGUUCGGUAGGGGAUCACGGAAUUCCUGGUGUAGCGGUGAAAUGCGCAGAUAUCAGGAGGAACACCGGUGGCGAAGGCGGUGAUCUGGGCCGAUAUUGACGCUGAGGAGCGAAAGCGUGGGGAGCAAACAGG